AAGGGGAUUAGUGACAUCUGAGACAGCCAAACCAAGGUCAGCCUCCUGGGGCAGGCACAGAAGGGUGGAGGGAAGACCUCAUUAAAUAAAGACAUCCAGCACACCAAAACAGGCAGAAAGCAGACAUGAUAACGAGAUUGCCACCUAUUUACCUUCUUGUAACCAUAAGAAUGAGGGAAGCUUCAUUCCGACGGAGUUCGACCAAAAUAGAGAAGAAGUUGUAAGGGUCUAGAAUUCAGUGUAGAAGUGUAUGCAGGAGACACCAAUCUGGAUAUUAGCACAUAAACAGUAUUUAAAACUACAAGACUGUAUGGGG
rnacentral:lncRNA from 10 species